AUGAAACGCUAGCGGGAGGCUUAACACAUGCAAGUCGAGGGGCAGCAUAGGGUAGCAAUACUCUGAUGGCGACCGGCAAACGGGUGAGUAACGCGUAUGCAACCUACCCUGUACAGGGGGAUAACCCGGAGAAAUUCGGACUAAUAUCCCGUAAUAAUAUCCGGAGGCAUCUUUGGAUAUUUAAAGUUCCGACGGUACGGGAUGGGCAUGCGUAACAUUAACUGGUUGGUAAGGUAACGGCUUACCAAGGCUAUGAUGUUUAGGGGUCCUGAGAGGGUGGUCCCCCACACUGGUACUGAGACACGGACCAGACUCCUACGGGAGGCAGCAGUGAGGAAUAUUGGUCAAUGGGCGCAAGCCUGAACCAGCCAUCCCGCGUGCAGGAAGACGGCCCUAUGGGUUGUAAACUGCUUUUCCAGGGAGAGAAACUUACGCACGUGUUGCGUGACUGACGGUACCCUGGGAAUAAGCAUCGGCUAACUCCGUG
rnacentral:rRNA from 1 species